rnacentral:rRNA from 1 species
CGAACGCUGGCGGCGUGCUUAACACAUGCAAGUCGAACGAUGAAGGUGGGAGCUUGCUCCUACUGGAUUAGUGGCGAACGGGUGAGUAACACGUGAGCAAUCUGCCCCUGACUCUGGGAUAAGCGUUGGAAACGACGUCUAAUACCGGAUACGAGCUGGGACCGCAUGGUCACCAGCUGGAAAGAACUUUGGUCAGGGAUGAGCUCGCGGCCUAUCAGCUUGUUGGUGAGGUAAUGGCUCACCAAGGCGACGACGGGUAGCCGGCCUGAGAGGGUGACCGGCCACACUGGGACUGAGACACGGCCCAGACUCCUACGGGAGGCAGCAGUGGGGAAUAUUGCACAAUGGGCGCAAGCCUGAUGCAGCAACGCCGCGUGAGGGACGAAGGCCUUCGGGUUGUAAACCUCUUUUAGCAGGGAAGAAGCGAAAGUGACGGUACCUGCAGAAAAAGCGCCGG